rnacentral:rRNA from 1 species
UUGGUUAAGUUAGAAAGGGCGCACGGUGGAUGCCUUGGCACUAGGAGCCGAAGAAGGACGGGACUAACACCGAUAUGCUUUGGGGAGCUGUACGUAAGCGUUGAUCCAGAGAUUUCCGAAUGGGGGAACCCACUAUCUUUAGUCGGAUAGUAUCCUUACGUGAAUACAUAGCGUGAGGAAGGCAGACCCAGGGAACUGAAACAUCUAAGUACCUGGAGGAAGAGAAAGAAAAAUCGAUUUCCUGAGUAGCGGCGAGCGAAACGGAAAGAGCCCAAACCAAGAAGCUUGCUUCUUGGGGUUGUAGGACACUCUAUACGGAGUUACAAAAGAAAGUUAUAAAUGAAGCGGUCUGGAAAGGCCCGCCAAAGACGGUAACAGCCCGGUAGUUGAAAUGGCUUUCCCUCCAGAGUGGAUCCUGAGUACGGCGGAACACGUGAAAUUCCGUCGGAAUCCGGGAGGACCAUCUCCCAAGGCUAAAUACUCCCUAGUGACCGAUAGUGAACCAGUACCGUGAGGGAAAGGUGAAAAGCACCCCGGAAGGGGAGUGAAACAGUUCCUGAAACCGUGUGCCUACAAGUAGUUAGAGCCCGUUAAUGGGUGAUAGCGUGCCUUUUGUAGAAUGAACCGGCGAGUUACGAUUUGUUGCAAGGUUAAGCGGAAAAAGCGGAGCCGUAGCGAAAGCGAGUCUGAAUAGGGCGCAUAAGUAACAGGUCGUAGACCCGAAACCAGGUGAUCUACCCAUGUCCAGGAUGAAGGUAAGGUAAUACUUACUGGAGGUCCGAACCCACGCACGUUGAAAAGUGCGGGGAUGAGGUGUGGGUAGCGGAGAAAUUCCAAUCGAACUUGGAGAUAGCUGGUUCUCUCCGAAAUAGCUUUAGGGCUAGCCUCGAGGUAAAGAGUCAUGGAGGUAGAGCACUGUUUGGACUAGGGGCCCUUCUCGGGUUACCGAAUUCAGAUAAACUCCGAAUGCCAUGUACUUAUACUCGGGAGUCAGACUGCGAGUGAUAAGAUCCGUAGUCGAAAGGGAAACAGCCCAGACCACCAGUUAAGGUCCCCAAAUAUAUGUUAAGUGGAAAAGGAUGUGGGGUUGCUUAGACAACCAGGAUGUUGGCUUAGAAGCAGCCACCAUUGAAAGAGUGCGUAAUAGCUCACUGGUCGAGUGACCCCGCGCCGAAAAUGUACCGGGGCUAAACAUAUUACCGAAACUGUGGAUGAACCUCUUUAGAGGUUCGUGGUAGGAGAGCGUUCUAAGGGCGGUGAAGUCAGACCGGAAGGACUGGUGGAGCGCUUAGAAGUGAGAAUGCCGGUAUGAGUAGCGAAAGAAGGGUGAGAAUCCCUUCCACCGAAUAUCUAAGGUUUCCUGAGGAAGGCUCGUCCGCUCAGGGUUAGUCGGGACCUAAGCCGAGGCCGAUAGGCGUAGGCGAUGGACAACAGGUAGAGAUUCCUGUACCAGUGCUAAUUGUUUAACCGAUGGGGUGACACAGAAGGAUAGGGAAUCGCACGAAUGGAAAUGUGCGUCCAAGCAGUGAGUGUGAGAAGUAGGCAAAUCCGCUUCUCGCGAAGCAUGAGCUGUGAUGGGGAAGGAAAUUAAGUACGGAAGUUCCUGAUUUCACGCUGUCAAGAAAAGCCUCUAGGAAGAGUAGUACUGCCCGUACCGCAAACCGACACAGGUAGAUGAGGAGAGAAUCCUAAGGUGAGCGAGAGAACUCUCGUUAAGGAACUCGGCAAAAUGACCCCGUAA